AUACGUAGGGGGCGAGCGUUGUCCGGAAUGAUUGGGCGUAAAGGGCGCGUAGGCGGCCCGGUAAGUCUGGAGUGAAAGUCCUGUUUUUAAGAUGGGAAUUGCUUUGGAUACUGUCGGGCUUGAGUGCAGGAGAGGUAAGUGGAAUUCCCAGUGUAGCGGUGAAAUGCGUAGAGAUUGGGAGGAACACCAGUGGCGAAGGCGACUUACUGGACUGUAACUGACGCUGAGGCGCGAAAGUGUGGGGAGCAACAGGAUUAGAUACCCUGGUAGUCCACACUGUAAACGAUGAAUGCUAGGUGUAGGGGGUAUCGACCCCUUCUGUGCCGCAGUCAACACAAUAAGCAUUCCGCCUGGGGAGUACGGCCGCAAGGUUGAAACUCAAAUGAAUUGACGGGG
rnacentral:rRNA from 1 species